GCGGCAAGAGGCCGCUGGCAGUGCCUGGUCCGAGAUGGGGUCCCAGGUCUCGAUGGAUGCGGGAGCCGUGCAUGUUGUGAUUGUGGGCGGGGGCUUUGGUGGCAUCGCGGCCGCCAGCCAGCUGCAGGCACUGAACAUCCCUUUUGUGCUGGUGGACAUGAAGGACUCCUUCCACCACAACGUGGCAGCCCUCCGGGCCUCCGUGGAGAGUGGGUUUGCCAAAAAGACAUUCAUUUCCUACUCGGUGACCUUCAAGGAAAACUUCAGGCAGGGCCUGGUGGUCGAGAUAGACCUGAAGAAUCAGACAGUGCUGCUGGAGGAUGGCCAGGCCCUACCCUUUUCACAUCUCAUCCUGGCCACAGGCAGCACUGGGCUCUUCCCAGGGAAGUUUAACCAGGUUUCCAGCCAGCAGAUGGCCAUCCAGGCCUAUGAGAACAUGGUGACGCAGGUUCAGCGCUCACAGUCCAUUGUGGUGGUGGGAGGAGGCUCUGCAGGAGUGGAGAUGGCAGCAGAGAUUAAAACGGAAUACCCCGAGAAAGAGGUCACUCUCAUUCACUCCCAGAUGGCCCUCGCAGACACAGAGCUCCUGCCCUGUGUCCGGCAGGAAGUGAAGGAGAUCUUGCUCCGGAAAGGUGUGCAGCUGCUGCUGAGUGAGCGGGUGAGCAACCUGGAGGCGCUGCCUGUCAAUGAGCAUUGUGAGUGCAUCAAGGUGCAGACGGACAAAGGCACGGAGGUGGACGCCAACCUGGUGAUUGUCUGCAACGGUAUCAAGAUCAACAGUGCAGCCUACCGCAGCACGUUUGGUGACCGGCUGGCCGGCAACGGUGCUCUGAAAGUAAACGAGUACCUCCAGGUGGAAGGUUACAGCCACAUCUAUGCCAUCGGAGACUGCGCCGACGUGAGGGAGCCCAAGAUGGCCUAUCACGCCGGCCUCCACGCCAACGUCGCUGUGGCCAACAUUGUCAACUCCAUGAAACAGAGGCCCCUCAAAACCUACAAGCCAGGUUCACUGACGUUCCUCCUGGCCAUGGGGAGAAAUGACGGCGUGGGCCAGAUCAGCGGCUUCUAUGUGGGGCGGCUUAUGGUUCGGCUGGCCAAGAGCCGGGACCUGUUGGUCUCCACGAGCUGGAAAACCAUGAAACAGUCUCCACCCUGAUGGGGAAUCCAGGAGAGAGACAGGCUGUGGCCCAAGUCUGUUCCAUGCUGUUGCCCAUGCCUUAGAGAGACUGUGCCUCUCUCCCAAAGAAUGGCCACCCCAUGGAGGCUUCACCCAGGCCUCCAUUCCUGCGGACCACAACCAACCAGGCUCCCUUCCUGCAAGCGGGACCUGCUGCCU
rnacentral:lncRNA from 1 species